rnacentral:rRNA from 1 species
GAGAGGGGAGCGAGUGUAGGGAAGGAGAGACAGAGCGAGCAGGCUCGUGGUGGUACCGGCGGAGUGGCAUUUAGCCCACCGGUUGCUGAGGGAAAGCAACAAGGCUCGACUGGUGCUUCUAGUGGCGACUAAUGAAGCAGCUAGGGCUCGUUGUUUAGCUCGCCUCGGUGGAGCAUGCAAGCAGUAGCUCGAGCAGGAGUGGCGCAUGUAACGGCCGGCGGUAGCAGCUAACUCAGUAGAAGCCAGGUGGAGGCUGGAGGGGCAGCGGAGGCAACCUUGGCACUGUGGCUCUGGCUACGGCGACGAUGGGUCAUGCUGAUGCCACAACUGCUGGGGAGAGAGAACGGUCUCGUUGGUCUGCAACCUCAGAUCCUCGUUCUGCGGUGGCAACUGCUGCUAAGGAUGAUGUGAUCUCCACGGAUGAUGAUGCACGUCCGGCGACUGCUACUGGUCCUCAUCAAAUCCUCCUAGGGUCCGUCCUCCGUACGCGGAGAAAGCUAAACAUAGGGUCAAACACGAUCGGAAAGAAUUCCGUUUGAACAAAUUGAAUACAGACAUGAGUCUAUAACAACGAAAGCGACUGAGCAGAUACUAGCUCGAGAACAUAAGCUCGGGAACUCCGGGGACCGAACAUUAUACUACUAACAUACUGAAUAAAAUAAA